rnacentral:rRNA from 1 species
ACUCCUACGGGAGGCAGCAGUGGGGAAUAUUGCACAAUGGGCGCAAGCCUGAUGCAGCGACGCCGCGUGGGGAUGACGGCCUUCGGGUUGUAAACUCCUUUCGCUAGGGACGAAGCUUUUGUGACGGUACCUAGAUAAGAAGCACCGGCUAACUACGUGCCAGCAGCCGCGGUAAUACGUAGGGUGCGAGCGUUGUCCGGAAUUACUGGGCGUAAAGGGCUCGUAGGUGGUUUGUCGCGUCGUCUGUGAAAUUCCGGGGCUUAACUCCGGGCGUGCAGGCGAUACGGGGCAUAACUUGAGUACUGUAGGGGUAACUGGAAUUCCUGGUGUAGCGGUGAAAUGCGCAGAUAUCAGGAGGAACACCGAUGGCGAAGGCAGGUUACUGGGCAGUUACUGACGCUGAGGAGCGAAAGCAUGGGUAGCGAACAGGAUUAGAUACCCUGUAGGCUCUG